GACGAACGCUGGCGGCGUGCCUAAUACAUGCAAGUCGAACGCAGGGGGGACGGGUGAGUAACACGUGGGUAACCUCCCAUCAGAGGGGAUAACACGUGGAUACAGGUGCUAAACCGAUACUGAUGGAUGGACCCGCGGUGCAUUAGCUAGUUGGUGGGGUAACGGCUCACCAAGGCCACGAUGCAUAGCCGACCUGAGAGGGGGAUCGGCCACACUGGGACUGAGACACGGCCCAGACUCCUACGGGAGGCAGCAGUAGGGAAUCUUCGGCAAUGGACGAAAGUCUGACCGAGGCACGCCGCGGGAUUGAAGAAGGUUCUCGGAUCGUAAAACUCUGUUGUUAGAGAAGCGGUAUCUAACCAGAAAGCCACGGCUAACUACGUGCCAGCAGCCGCGGUAAUAC
rnacentral:rRNA from 1 species